CUAUAAUUAGCCCAGAUGCUAGUCUUAAAACAGCGACAAAAAACAUCCGAGGUUGCAGCAUAUUAUAAAUUAACACACAUGUAUGCUAACGCUUUAGUUUCAUGGCUGUUUGCUUUGUUCGUUGUCACACGCGUAGCAUCUGGGCGCUAACAAUACAAACCAAAUGGUUCACUGCUUGGCUUCCUUGCAGCUUGCACGCACUAGAUGGGUUUGAUUUUGUUUGACUAAUUUAUACACCUAAUUUUCAAGGGAUUUGCUUUGGAUCAUAUCCCGAGGAGAAGAAAAAUCCUUAUUGUCGCAAGUUUCAGUGAAAAGAAUAAUCGCGCUGCUUUAAUUGCUGACUGCAACCGAGUUUAAUAUCAUCAAUCUUUCCCAUAGGAGCUGCUCGAACCAAGAAAACAUGGCCGGUGACCUUCUCUCAGGAGGAGAUGAAGAAACGUCUCACGCCCA